rnacentral:rRNA from 1 species
CCGCGGUAUUCUGACCGUGCGAAGGUAGCAUAAUCAAUAAUCUUUUAAUUGAAGGUCUGUAUGAAUGGUUGGACGAGAAAUAAACUGUUUUUUAUUUGAAAUUUAAAUUUAACUUUUAAGUGAAAAGGCUUAAAUGUAAUAAAAAGACGAUAAGACCCUAUAAAUCUUUAUAACAUAGAAAAUAAGAGUAAUUUGGAAGUGAAACGUUUUUUAUUUUUGAUUGAUAUUUUGUUGGGGCGACAUGAAUAAUUAAUUUACUGUUCAAAGAAAAAUACAAUAUAUUUUUGAAUAUAAUAAAAAGAUCCUUAAUAGAGAUCGCAAGAUAAAGUUACUUUAGGGAUAACAGCGUUAUUUUAUUUGAGAGUUCGUAUCGAAAAUAAAGUUUGCGACCUCGAUGUUGAAUUAAAAUUUCUUUGGGGUGUAGCCGCUUCAAAAGUAAGUCUGUUCGACUUUUAAAAUUUUACAUGAUUUGANNUUCAAA